GAACUGCUAAGUUUUCCUACUCUGGUACUGGCUCCUGCCUAGGUUUCUGCUCCAAUAAGUUGUAAUUCUCUGUAUUCCUCUAGCCUGCCUAUAUUUCCAGCUUUGGGGGCAGU